rnacentral:rRNA from 1 species
CAAUAGCGUAUAUUAAAGUUGUUGCGGUUAAAAAGCUCGUAGUUGGAUUUCUGCUGAGGACGACCGGUCCGCCCUUCGGGUGAGUAUCUGGCUCUUUCUUGGCAUCUUCUUGGUGAACGUUGCUGCACUUGACUGUGUGGAGCGCUACCCAGGACUUUUACUUUGAGGAAAUUAGAGUGUUUCAAGCAGGCAUACGCCUUGAAUACAUUAGCAUGGAAUAAUAAGAUAGGACCUCGGUUCUAUUUUGUUGGUUUCUAGAGCUGAGGUAAUGAUUAAUAGGGAUAGUUGGGGGCAUUCGUAUUUAACUGUCAGAGGUGAAAUUCUUGGAUUUGUUAAAGACGGACUACUGCGAAANCANNNGCCAAGGAUGUUUUCAUNGA